AUUGAACGCUGUCGGCAUGCCUUACACAUGCAAGUCGAACGGUAACAGGUCUUCGGAUGCUGACGAGUGGCGAACGGGUGAGUAAUACAUCGGAACUUGCCCGAGAGGGGGGGAUAACGAAGCGAAAGCUUCGCUAAUACCGCAUACGAUCUCAGGAUGAAAGCAGGGGACCGCAAGGCCUUGCGCUCACGGAGCGGCCGAUGGCAGAUUAGGUAGUUGGUGGGAUAAAAGCUUACCAAGCCGACGAUCUGUAGCUGGUCUGAGAGGACGACCAGCCACACUGGGACUGAGACACGGCCCAGACUCCUACGGGAGGCAGCAGUGGGGAAUUUUGGACAAUGGGCGCAAGCCUGAUCCAGCCAUGCCGCGUGCAGGAUGAAGGCUUUCGGGUUGUAAACUGCUUUUGUACGGAACGAAAAGACUCUGGUUAAUACCUGGGGUCCAUGGCGGUACCGUAAGAAUAAGCACCGGCUAACUACGUGCCAGCCGCCGCGGUAACAC
rnacentral:rRNA from 1 species